CCGCGUGAGGGAUGACGGCCUUUGGGUUGCAAACCUCUUUUUUCAAGGAGGAAGUUCUGACGUGUACUUGAAGAAUAAGCAUCGGCUAACUCCGUGCCAGCAGCCCGCGGUAAGACGGAGGAUGCAAGUGUUAUCCGGAAUUAUUGGGCGUAAAGCGUCUGUAGGUUGCCUAGCAAGUCUAUUGUUAAAGGUUAAAGCUUAACUUUAAAACUGCAGUAGAAACUGCUAAGCUUGAGUACAGUCGAAGUAGAGGGAAUUUCCAGUGAAGCGGUGAAAUGCGUAGAUAUUGGAAGGAACACCAAUGGCGAAAGCACUCUACUAGGCUUUUACUGACACUCAGAGACGAAAGCUAGGGU
rnacentral:rRNA from 1 species